AAAGGAUACUGAGCAGGUGGAAUCAAGAGAGCAUCGCUACUUCAGUGAAGACAACUCAACAACUGAAAUAAUCUCAAAGCACCUUCCAUGAUGUUCAUGAAGAUCUGUGUCAUUCUUCUUCUGUGUGCUGUCUCAGGCAACACACAAACAACCACAGCUGCUGCAGGAACAACCACAGCUGCUGCAACAACCACAGCUGCCGCAGCAACAACCUCAGCUGCAGCAGCAACAACCACAGCUGCCACAGGAACAACCACAGCUACACCAGCAACAACCACAGCUGCCCCAGGAACAACCACAGCUGCCACAGGAACAACCACAGCUGCCACAGGAACAACCACAGCUGCCACAGGUACAACCACAGCUGCCCCAGGAACAACCACAGUUGCUGCAGCAACAGCAGCAGGAACAACCACAGGUGCUGCAGCAACAGCAGCAGGAGCAACCACAGCGCCACCAGCAGCAGCAGCACCAGAGCCAACAACUGCUGCCUCCUCUGCAGUUGUUAACAAAACAAGUUUCCUUUUUGUCAUUGCAGUUGUUACAGCACUAAUCUGGAAUUAAUAACCUGAUUUGAAGAAAGGACAAAAUACCAUAUUUAGACAGUAUUUAUACUAUGUAUUUAUAAUGGAGAGACUGAAGGAUUUCACUUAAUUUAUUGUCAUUAUUUAUCAUGUACCUGUGACUUCAUAUUAUUUAUCUGAAAUUAUACUAUGCUGUAACUGACUUGUGUUCCUUACACACGCAGAACUCAGUUUAUGAUGACAGAUGUUAUGUCAUGCUGGCAAACCUGAUAUUUAUUCUCUUGUCAUGAGACAAUACAUACAACUUUUAGUAACUAAUGUUAACAUUGACACGGAGCCAUAUGAGCCAUACAGUAGGUAGAUACAACCACAUGAUCAACUCUAACAUCAAUUAUCAUCAGAAAUACUGAGCAUCCAGAAUUCAGGUUUUUUGUAUGUAUUGGUUUGAAUAACACUGUAAGGAUUCCACCUGAUGGAAACACUGUGCUGCACGCUGUGGUGACUGCUCUGCUGUCUGUAUUUGGAUAUGCAUGUUAAUAUGCCAUAUGAAGUAUUUAAAGUAUUGAAGUGUGAAAUGCAAAGAACCACAAUGUAUUUUUUGCACACCAACACACUUUAAAUAAGUGAAUUAAUCAUUAUAGGAAAAGUAAACCACAAAUGAAGUUUAUUUAUUGAUAUCAUGCU